rnacentral:rRNA from 1 species
GAUGAACGCUGGCGGCGUGCCUAAUACAUGCAAGUCGAGCGAACAGACGAGGAGCUUGCUCCUCUGACGUUAGCGGCGGACGGGUGAGUAACACGUGGAUAACCUACCUAUAAGACUGGGAUAACUUCGGGAAACCGGAGCUAAUACCGGAUAAUAUAUUGAACCGCAUGGUUCAAUAGUGAAAGACGGUUUUGCUGUCACUUAUAGAUGGAUCCGCGCCGCAUUAGCUAGUUGGUAAGGUAACGGCUUACCAAGGCAACGAUGCGUAGCCGACCUGAGAGGAUGAUCGGCCACACUGGAACUGAGACACGGUCCAGACUCCUACGGGAGGCAGCAGUAGGGAAUCUUCCGCAAUGGGCGAAAGCCUGGCGGAGCAACGCCGCGUGAGUGAUGAAGGUCUUCGGAUCGUAAAGCUCUGUUAUUAGGGAAGAACAAAUGUGUAAGUAACUCUGCACGUCUUGACGGUACCUAAUCAGAAAGCCACGGCUAACUACGUG